GACAAAGACAAUUCUGGUCCCACAGUCUUGCAUCUGACUGCCCGCUUUGGCCACCCCAAGGUGGUGAACUGGCUCUUGCAUCAUGGCGGUGGGGAUCCCACCGCGGCCACAGACAUGGGCGCCCUGCCUAUCCACUACGCUGCAGCCAAAGGAGACUUCCCCUCCCUGAGGCUUCUCGUCAGGCACUACCCUGAGGGAGUGAAUGCCCAAACCAAGAACGGUGCCACGCCCCUGUACCUGGCGUGCCAGGAGGGCCACCUGGAGGUGACGCAGUACCUGGUGCAGGAAUGCGGCGCGGACCCGCACGCGCGCGCCCACGACGGCAUGACCCCACUGCACGCCGCGGCGCAGAUGGGCCACAGCCCGGUCAUCGUGUGGUUGGUGAGCUGCACCGACGUGAGCCUGUCGGAGCAGGACAAAGACGGCGCCACCGCCACGCACUUCGCGGCGAGCCGCGGCCACAGCAAGGUGCUCAGCUGGCUGCUGCUGCACGGCGGGGAGAUCUCGGCUGACCUGUGGGGCGGGACCGCGCUGUACGACGCCGCCGAGAACGGGGAGCUAGAGUGCUGCCAGAUCCUGGUAGUGAACGGCGCGGAGCUGGAAGUCCGCGACCGCGACGGGUACGCGGCCGCUGACCUGUCGGACUUCAACGGCCACAGCCACUGCACCCACUGCCUGCGCACGGUGGAGAACCUGAGCAUGGAGCACUGCGUGCUCUCCCGGGAUCCAUCCGUGGAGCUGGAGGCGAAGCAGCCGGAUUCAGGCAUGUCCUCACCCAACACCACGGUGUCGGUCCAGCCUCUGAACUUUGACCUCAGCUCGCCCACCAGCACCCUCUCCAACUACGACUCCUGCUCCUCCAGCCACUCCAGCAUCAAGGGCCAGCACCCUCCACGUGGGCUUUCCAGCACUAGAGCUGCAGACAUACAGAGCUACAUGGACAUGCUGAACCCAGAGCUGGGCCUGCCUUGGGGCACGAUUGGGAAGCCCAUACCCCCACCACCCCCACCCAGCUUCCCCCCGCCACCCCCGCCCCCAGGCACCCAACUGCCCCCACCCCCACCUAGCUACCCAUCUCCCAAGCCUCCUGUGGGACCACAGGCAGCUGACAUCUACAUGCAGACCAAGAACAAACUCCGCCACGUGGAGACAGAGGCCCUCAAGAAGGAGCCGAGCUCCUGCGACGGCCACGACGGGCUACGGAGGCAGGACUCCAGCCGCAAGCCCCGCGCUUUCAGCAAGCAGCCCAGCACGGGGGACUACUACCGGCAGCUGGGCCGCUGCCCCGGCGAGACGCUGGUCGCACGCCCGGGCAUGGCGCACCGCGAGGAGGCGGAACUCCCUGGGAACCACGUGCCUAACGGCUGCGCCGCGGACCCCAAGGCGUCCAGGGAGCAGCAGCUGCCGCCGCCGCCGCCGCCGCCGCCCCUGCCCGAGGCCGCGAGUUCGCCGCCGCCGGUCCCGCCUCUGCCCCUCGAGGGCGCUGGCCCUGGCUGCGGGCAGCGCCGCUCCUCCUCGCCCACCGGCAGCACCAAGUCUUUCAACGUGAUGUUCCCGAUGGGCGACAACUCGGAGCUACUGGCUGAGAUUAAGGCAGGCAAGAGCCUGAAGCCGACGCCACAGAGCAAGGGGCUGACCACAGUGUUCUCAGGCAGCAGGCAGCCGGCCUUCCAGCCCGAUUGGCCGCUGCCGUCUGUGUCACCUGCACUGUUACCAGUCCGGAGCCCCACACCGCCAGCUGCGGGGUUUCAGCCGCUGCUCAACGGAAGCUUGGUUCCGGUGCCGCCCACUACUCCUGCGCCGGGGGUGCAGCUGGACGUGGAGGCGCUCAUCCCCACGCACGAUGAGCAGGGCCGUCCCAAGCCCGAGUGGAAGCGCCAGGUGAUGGUGGGCAAGAUGCAGCUGAAGAUGGAGGAGGAGGAGGAGCAGAGGUGGAAAGAGGAGGAGGAGGCCCGGCUGGCCAGCAUGCCCGCCUGGAGGUGGGACCUCCUGCGGAAGAAGCUGGAAGAAGAGAG